rnacentral:misc_RNA from 1 species
GAUGAAGAACGUAGUGAAAUGCGAUAAUUAAUGUGAAUUGCAGAAUUCAGUGAAUCAUCGAGUCUUUGAACGCACAUUGCGCCCCCUGGUAUUCCGGGGGCAUGCCUGUCCGAGCGUCAUUGCUGCCCUCAAGCACGGCUUGUGUGUUGGGCUUCCGUCCCUGGCAACGGGGACGGGCCCAAAAGGCAGUGGCGGCACCAUGUCUGGUCCUCGAGCGUAUGGGGCUUUGUCACCCGCUCCCGUAGGUCCAGCUGGCAGCUAGCCUCGCAACCAAUCUUUUUAACCAGGUUGACCUCGGAUCAGGUAGGGAUACCCGCUGAACUUAAGCAUAUCAAUAAGCGGAGGA